GAGUUGUUGGUGUCACCUGUAGGACU
rnacentral:piRNA from 1 species